CCUACGGGCGGCAGCAGUGAGGAAUAUUGCACAAUGGGCGCAAGCCUGAUCCAGCAACGCCGCGUGAGGGAUGACGGCCUUCCGGUCUUUAAACUCUUUCCUCAAGGAAGAUACUGGCGGUACUUGAGGAGGAAGCCCCAGCUAACUGCGUGACAGCAGCCGCUGUCAUACGUCGGGGUGUAGCGUUAUCCGGAAUUACUGGGCGUAAAGGGUGCGUAGGUGGUUUAUUAAGUCAGUGGUGAAAGGCUGAGGCUCAACCGUAGCAAGCCAUUGAACCUGGGGAACUUGAGUGGAGGAGAGGAGAGUGGAAUUCGUGGUGUAGCGGUGAAAUGCGUAGAUAUCAGGCGGAACCCCAGUUGCGAAGGCGGCUCUCGGGACUGCAACUGACGCUGAGGCACGAAAGCGUGGGGAGCAAACAGGAGUAGAUACCCGAGUAGUC
rnacentral:rRNA from 1 species